rnacentral:rRNA from 1 species
UACGUAGGGGGCGAGCGUUGUCCGGAUUUACUGGGCGUAAAGCGCGUGUAGGCGGCUGCUUAAGUCGGGUGUGAAAGCCCGGGGCUCAACCCCGGGAUGCCGCCCGAGACUGGGCGGCUUGAGGUCGGAAGAGGGGAGUGGAAUUCCAGGUGUAGCGGUGAAAUGCGUAGAGAUCUGGAGGAACACCCGUGGCGAAGGCGGCAUCCUGGACCAAUAUUGACGCUGAGGAGCGAAAGCCAGGGGAGCAAACGGG